AGCGUACACGGUGGAUGCCCUGGCAGUCAGAGGCGAUGAAGGACGUGCUAAUCUGCGAAAAGCGUCGGUAAGGUGAUAUGAACCGUUACAGCCGGCGAUGUCCGAAUGGGGAAACCCAGUGCAAUUCGUUGCACUAUCGUUAACUGAAUACAUAGGUUAACGAGGCGAACCGGGGGAACUGAAACAUCUAAGUACCCCGAGGAAAAGAAAUCAACCGAGAUUCCCCCAGUAGCGGCGAGCGAACGGGGAGCAGCCCAGAGUCUGAAUCAGCUUGUGUGUUAGUGGAACGGUCUGGAAAGUCCGACGGUACAGGGUGAUAGUCCCGUACACCAAAAUGCACAGGCUGUGAACUCGAAGAGUAGGGCGGGACACGUGGUAUCCUGUCUGAAUAUGGGGGGACCAUCCUCCAAGGCUAAAUACUCCUGACUGACCGAUAGUGAACCAGUACCGUGAGGGAAAGGCGAAAAGAACCCCGGCGAGGGGAGUGAAAAAGAACCUGAAACCGUGUACGUACAAGCAGUGGGAGCACCUUCGGGUGUGACUGCGUACCUUUUGUAUAAUGGGUCAGCGACUUAUAUUCUGUAGCAAGGUUAACCGUAUAGGGGAGCCGCAGGGAAACCGAGUCUUAACUGGGCGUUAAGUUGCAGGGUAUAGACCCGAAACCCGGUGAUCUAGCCAUGGGCAGGUUGAAGGUUGGGUAACACUAACUGGAGGACCGAACCGACUAAUGUUGAAAAAUUAGCGGAUGACUUGUGGCUGGGGGUGAAAGGCCAAUCAAACCGGGAGAUAGCUGGUUCUCCCCGAAAGCUAUUUAGGUAGCGCCUCGUGAAUUCAUCUUCGGGGGUAGAGCACUGUUUCGGCUAGGGGGUCAUCCCGACUUACCAACCCGAUGCAAACUACGAAUACCGAAGAAUGUUAUCACGGGAGACACACGGCGGGUGCUAACGUCCGUCGUGAAGAGGGAAACAACCCAGACCGCCAGCUAAGGUCCCAAAGUCAUGGUUAAGUGGGAAACGAUGUGGGAAGGCACAGACAGCCAGGAUGUUGGCUUAGAAGCAGCCAUCAUUUAAAGAAAGCGUAAUAGCUCACUGGCGAGUCGGCCUGCGCGGAAGAUGUAACGGGGCUAAACCAUGCACCGAAGCUGCGGCAGCGACGCUUAUGCGUUGUUGGGUAGGGGAGCGUUCUGUAAGCCUGCGAAGGUGGCCUGUGAGGGCUGCUGGAGGUAUCAGAAGUGCGAAUGCUGACAUAAGUAACGAUAAAGCGGGUGAAAAGCCCGCUCGCCGGAAGACCAAGGGUUCCUGUCCAACGUUAAUCGGGGCAGGGUGAGUCGACCCCUAAGGCGAGGCCGAAAGGCGUAGUCGAUGGGAAACAGGUUAAUAUUCCUGUACUUGGUGUUACUGCGAAGGGGGGAGACGGAGAAGGCUAUGUUAGCCGGGCGACGGUUGUCCCGGUUUAAGCAUGUAGGCGGAGGUUCCAGGUAAAUCCGGAUAAUCAAGGCUGAGGUGUGAUGACGAGGCACUACGGUGCUGAAGUAACAAAUGCCCUGCUUCCAGGAAAAGCCUCUAAGCAUCAGGUAACAUCAAAUCGUACCCCAAACCGACACAGGUGGUCAGGUAGAGAAUACCAAGGCGCUUGAGAGAACUCGGGUGAAGGAACUAGGCAAAAUGGUGCCGUAACUUCGGGAGAAGGCACGCUGGUGUGUAGGUGAAGUCCCUGCGGAUGGAGCUGAGACCAGUCGAAGAUACCAGCUGGCUGCAACUGUUUAUUAAAAACACAGCACUGUGCAAACACGAAAGUGGACGUAUACGGUGUGACGCCUGCCCGGUGCCGGAAGGUUAAUUGAUGGGGUUAUCCGUAAGGAGAAGCUCUUGAUCGAAGCCCCGGUAAACGGCGGCCGUAACUAUAACGGUCCUAAGGUAGCGAAAUUCCUUGUCGGGUAAGUUCCGACCUGCACGAAUGGCGUAAUGAUGGCCAGGCUGUCUCCACCCGAGACUCAGUGAAAUUGAACUCGCUGUGAAGAUGCAGUGUACCCGCGGCAAGACGGAAAGACCCCGUGAACCUUUACUAUAGCUUGACACUGAACAUUGAGCCUUGAUGUGUAGGAUAGGUGGGAGGCUUUGAAGCGUGGACGCCAGUCUGCGUGGAGCCAACCUUGAAAUACCACCCUUUAAUGUUUGAUGUUCUAACGUUGGCCCCUNACCGGGGUUGCGGACAGUGUCUGGUGGGUAGUUUGACUGGGGCGGUCUCCUCCCAAAGCGUAACGGAGGAGCACGAAGGUUAGCUAAUCCUGGUCGGACAUCAGGAGGUUAGUGCAAUGGCAUAAGCUAGCUUGACUGCGAGCGUGACGGCGCGAGCAGGUGCGAAAGCAGGUCAUAGUGAUCCGGUGGUUCUGAAUGGAAGGGCCAUCGCUCAACGGAUAAAAGGUACUCCGGGGAUAACAGGCUGAUACCGCCCAAGAGUUCAUAUCGACGGCGGUGUUUGGCACCUCGAUGUCGGCUCAUCACAUCCUGGGGCUGAAGUAGGUCCCAAGGGUAUGGCUGUUCGCCAUUUAAAGUGGUACGCGAGCUGGGUUUAGAACGUCGUGAGACAGUUCGGUCCCUAUCUGCCGUGGGCGCUGGAGAAUUGAGGGGGGCUGCUCCUAGUACGAGAGGACCGGAGUGGACGCAUCACUGGUGUUCGGGUUGUCAUGCCAAUGGCACUGCCCGGUAGCUAAAUGCGGAAGAGAUAAGUGCUGAAAGCAUCUAAGCACGAAACUUGCCCCGAGAUGAGUUCU
rnacentral:rRNA from 1 species